rnacentral:miRNA from 1 species
UCCAUAAAGUAGAGAGUACUAC